rnacentral:rRNA from 1 species
UGGGGAAUUUUGGACAAUGGGCGCAAGCCUGAUCCAGCCAUGCCGCGUGCGGGAAGAAGGCCUUCGGGUUGUAAACCGCUUUUGUCAGGGAAGAAACGCUCUGGGCUAAUACCCUGGGGUAAUGACGGUACCUGAAGAAUAAGCACCGGCUAACUACGUGCCAGCAGCCGCGGUAAUACGUAGGGUGCAAGCGUUAAUCGGAAUUACUGGGCGUAAAGCGUGCGCAGGCGGUUAUGCAAGACAGAUGUGAAAUCCCCGGGCUCAACCUGGGAACUGCAUUUGUGACUGUAUAGCUAGAGUACGGUAGAGGGGGAUGGAAUUCCGCGUGUAGCAGUGAAAUGCGUAGAUAUGCGGAGGAACACCGAUGGCGUAGGCAGGUUACUGGAUCAUUACUGACACUGAGGCACGAAAGCGUGGGGAGCAAACGGGAUUAGAUACCCCCGUAGUCCCUGAGCGGGCUGGCAAGGCGCAU